UUCUGACAACAACAUUUUUCAAACAUUUAGACCUUUAAUAUCAUUAAUUUAAAGUACAAGAUUAAAUAUUUUAUGCAAAUAUUCGACAACAGCAAAGAGCUCCACAUAUUAGGAUUUAAAACAAAUUGAAAGCAUGCAAGACAUAUUCAUUCCUUAAGCAGUUUAGUUAAAAAAUCGGUAUUGUCUCUAUUAGGAUUAACUGACAGUAACUCUUUGUGUUCAAAUGGAUUUAACUUCACUGUGGUUUGUUUUCCAGAUAUCAUUGUCCUCCAAUAAUCAUGGAUAAAGGGAAAUGUAAAAGGACAGAUCAAGUAAAAAUAUAUCUUCACAUCAUAAACACAGAAUUAUGUUUAAAUUUCAUUACUAAAUGGGAUUUCGGCUUCAUAUACCAUGCCUAAUCCUGCACUAUAAAAGAUGUAUAAAACCUCUUGACAAAUUCUAACAGACUUUGUGGAAGUUGCACAUAUAUUGAUUAAAACAUCAAGCAGUUACAUACAAACCAAUAAUGAAUUACUUCUUGUUGGAAGAUAAAACUUUGUGAUAUUUAAAAUUACAGACUUGAAAGUAAGUAAAAUUACCCCUAAUUAUGCAGAAGGGAGCAACACCUUAGCAGUAAACAAGAUAAGCACCUCAAACAGCACUAAUAAUUUUAAUUAACAUUUUCUAGUUUCCUUUCACCUCCUUUCAAGGUCAUCUGCCGCCUUCUCCUAGUGCAACAUUACAGCACAGUGUUAAAAACUUACAUUCCAUUACUAAUCACUUUGAUAAGCCAAAAAAAUUACUUUCCAAGACGGAUUUUUUUUUCUUUUUAAAUCACUUAAUCAUGUGCAAAAGCAAAUAUUUCACUGUGUAGAACUGUCAGAAAGGUCUUUUGGAAAACUGCUCUCAGAAGUCAUAUCCCAGCAGCCGCGUUUCAGCUGGUCAUUUGGGGCCCGAUUCUGAAAAGCCGAGGAAAAAAAAUCAUCUGGGACUGUUGCCUGGGAAAAAAGUGCGAGGCAAAUCCUGCUAGCAUUUCAGAGAUGUAAGAGAGCUUGAGGAAGGGGAAAAUGAAGCAGGCACCUAGAAGUCGUUCCCCUCCUUCGUGACAGCACCGGCCAUGGCUGAACACACCGAGAUGGUGUGAAGACGAUUUUGGCCUAGCUGCCCAUGAGCAAAAGCUCAGAGGUAGCACUGCCCGUCUGCCUUCCCCAGCCGUCUUCUGCGUGACCACGGGUAUCACCGAAAGUCGACCAUUCGCCAUUCAAAGCAGAAAGGAGGGAAAAAGUACGGUCCCUGUGCAGAUAAAAGGUAACCUGGUAAUGAGGAUGCACCAGCUGAUAAUUAAUAACCACAGUUUUCUCUGUCUAAUUUACCUGCCCAGGGCAGGAAGGUGUAUUCUACAUGAGUUUAAGUGCUGCUCCUUUCAAGAGGGAUGAGCUCAACCUGAUGAGAUCUAACGAACUCUUUGUAGUGAACAGCGCAGGUGCUAAGGAUGGGCUUUCCCCUCUC